rnacentral:tRNA from 1 species
UGGGGUAUCGCCAAGCGGUAAGGCACCGGGUUUUGAUCUCGGUAUCCCUAGGUUCGAAUCCUAGUACCCCAGCCA